rnacentral:lncRNA from 1 species
AUUAACUCCUUUGUCGAUGGUACAACUCCUCCCAUUUACACAGUGGGGCCGUUAUUGAACUUACAUAAUGCCAAUCACCAGAAACAAGAUAGUGACUUGGAUGUCAUCCAAUGGCUUGAUGAUCAACCCACAUCAUCUGUGGUGUUUUUAUGUUUUGGCAGCGUUGGAGCAUUCCACAUGGAUCAAAUCAAAGAAAUUGCAAUUGGGCUUGAGAAUAGUGGGCAUCGUUUCUUGUGGACGCUCCGACGACCUCCACCAAAAGGUAAGAUCGCAAUGCCUACUGAUUAUGUGAAUUUCGAGGAAGUACUACCUGAAGGGUUCUUAGAUCGUACAUCUAAAAUUGGAAAGAUAAUUGGAUGGGCACCACAAACGGCUAUUUUAGCUCACUCUGCAAUAGGAGGGUUUGUAUCUCAUUGUGGGUGGAAUUCUACAUUAGAGAGCAUAUGGUAUGGCGUCCCGGUAGCUACAUGGCCUAUGUAUGCAGAACAACAAUUGAAUGCGUUUCAAAUAGUAAAAGAGUUAGAAAUAGGGGUAGAGAUCAGAUUAGAUUAUAAAAAGGAUACUAGUGAUAUUGUAAAUGCUCAAGAAAUUGAGAGUAGAAUAAGAAGUUUGAUGGAGGAUAGCAAUGACAUAAAAACAAAUAGGGCAAAGAUGAAAGAAAAGUGCGUGACAGCCCUAACGGAAGGUGGAUCUUUAGAUUCUAGCUUACAACGUCUAAUUGGAGACAUGAUAACUAAUAUCUCAUGAAGCAAUGUUUUAUCAAAGAAAAGUUAUAAGUUGUUAAAAAUGCUUAUUUCAAUUGCCUUUUAAUAAUAUAUUGGUUGAGUGUCGUGGAAAGGUUGAUUCAACUAUUUACUUAUUUUAAAUAAAAAUAAGCGUAACAUAUGUUAUGUCUUGUGUAACAAUUUUAUUUUAAUAUUAGGUGAUGUAUCAAAUCCAAAUUGCAUGUUUAUUUUAUUAUUUAAAGUUUGUUAAAGAAACGAUAAAUGCAUGAUAAUAAAAAAUUUAAAGUAAAAUAGGCCAACUACAUGGAUGAAGUUUUUCAUUUGGAUAUUUAAUUAGGAGUCUCUACAUUUUCCUUUUUCUAAUAUUUAAAAUCUUUUUUACUUAUUUAAACAAAAUAUUAAAUAUGUAAAAAGUCUACCUUUCACCUUUUAAACAAAUAAAAAAAAUACAAAAUAGUUUUAAAUCCAAUUUAAUCCUACAUAAUCAAAGUACAAAUAAAGCAAUAUUCAACGACGUGGAAGAGACAAAUAAAAUAGAGGAAGGCUUUUUAAUUAUUUUAAAUUUUGGUGUAUUAAAUAUUAAUAUUUCUAUGCAUUUUUUUAAAGACGGGGACAUAAAAAGGUUUUACGCUUUCUCAUCUUAUAUGUCAUGUUCUUGUAAACCCUUAUACUAAAUUAGCAUGUCCCAUUGUCAUUUUCAGUCAAUUUGAUGUUUAAUUUUGUUGUUAUUAAAUUGUGAAAGGUUAACAUAGACCUCCAUUUUUUAUAUAUCUUCUCACUCAAUGGUAAGAUUCGUUUUUUAUUUGUGAAAAUCUGAUUUCUAAAAAAGUAGAGUCGUUACUUAUUUUAAUUUAAUUUUUAUGAAAAAAAUAAAAUAAGAAAAACCACAUAUUACUCCUUAUUUGAAAAAAAUAAUAAGUUUGUAAACCAAAAGCAAAUUCACUGAUCAAGUUAUUUAUCGAGAAAGUAUAAUAAUGAACUGUAACACUUUUCUAAGUCUGUGUCUAUAAUUUAUACUAAAUGAAUGAAGAAAAUUAUAACAAUUGAUUAAUUAAUUAUAAAUAUAAAAAAAGUAUGAUGCAAAUAUGAGUAAUAAGAUAAGGUAGAGACAAGUUACAAGAAUAUACAAAAUUUCAAUUUAUUUGCAAAAGAUUUGAUUUUUAUUCAAAUUCGAAUUUAUUUUGAAAAUGACUUUUCUUGUUUUUAUUAAAGGAGAUUAUUGAAUGUAAUUUUACUAAAAAAAAUGUUCAAUUUGAUUUUAUUUAUAAGAAAUGAUUUUUAUUUAUGUUUGUUAGGAAAAGAAUGAAUUUUUACAAUUUUAUUUUUAAUAGAAUAUUUUAUUGCAAAUUUUAUUUUAAAAAUGGAUUUUUACAAAUUAUUUAAUAUGUAUAUAUAUAUAUAUAUAUAUAUAUAUAUAUAUAUAUAUAUAUAUAUAUAUAUAUAUAUAUAUAUAUAUAUAUAUAUAUAUAUAUAUAUAUAUAUAUAUAUAUUUUUUUNNNNNNNNNNNNNNNNNNNNNNNNNNNNNNNNNNNNNNNNNNNNNNNNNNNNNNNNNNNNNNNNNNNNNNNNNNNNNNNNNNNNNNNNNNNNNNNNNNNNUAUUUAUUUAUAUAUUUUUAAUAAAAAAAAAAAAUAUAUAAAUAUAUAUAUAUAAAUAUAUAUAUUUAUAUAUAUAUUUUUAUAAAUAUAUAUAUAUAUAUAUAUAUAUAUAUAUAUAUAUAUAUAUAUAUAUAUAUAUAUAUAUAUAUAUAUAUAUAUAUAUAUAUAUAUAUAUAUAUAUAUAUAUAUAUAUAUAUAUAUAUUAUUAUUAUUAUUAUUUUUUACAAAUUUGGUUUAUUAUACUAUAAAAUAAAUAUUAUAGCAUAAGGUUUCUUGCAAAAAUCAGAGUAUCAAUUUACAUAUUGAUUCAAUCAUAUGAUCGAUGAUCCCUAAAGGAAUUGCUUAGUUUAUUAUGUAUAUGCAUUCAUAGAUAUCUUAAAAUCCCCAAAGGAUUCAAAAUGUCUUAAACAAAUAAUUCCCCGAAAUAUUAAUAUAUAUGAAGCAAAUAAUUAUCUCAAGGAUAAAAAUAUCUAAAGCAAUGAUUGAAAAUCUUAUAUUACAUUUGCGAUCAUGAUGAUAAUAUAUUUUUAUCAAUUUAUGUCAUUAUACUGAUUAAAGUGUAGGUUUGUAAUUGUUAUAAGCUCAUUGAAACUCUUGAAGAGCUAAUAAAAGCGGUUAAUUAAUUACUAAUUAAGGAUCUUAGAAAACCAAAAUUUUACCUUAGCUUGUAGAUUAAACACUUUCCAAAUGGAAUGUUAGUUCAUUAGUUAGCAUAUACAAAAAGUCCUAAAGUACUUUCAUAUAGACAAAUCAUACGCACUUAACUCUUCUAUGAUUGUUUGUUCACUUGAAGUGGAUAAAAAUAUGUUCCAUCCCAAAGAAGAGAAAAGAAAAAAAGUUUGGUCCAAGAGUAUCAUAUCUUAAUGCAAUUGGUACAUUGAUGCAUUUGGUAAAUUGUACCUUAUUAUAGUAGCAUUUUCUAUCAAUUUGCUACCAAGAUAAAACUCUAAACCAACAUGAAAACAUUAGAAUAAGACCAAACAUGUAUUACAAUAUCUUUGCGGAGCAACUAAUAUGAGUUUAUUUUAUUCAAAAUGAGAAAAAACUCAACUACUUAGAUAUAUGGAUGUUAACUAUCAUUUAGUUGACCCCCACAAAGCUCAACCCAAAUGGGAUAUAUAUUUAUCUAUAGUAGUGCAAUUAUGUCAUGGAGAUCAAUCAAACGAUCAAUGAUAAUCACUUCUUCAAAUUAUUUAGAGAUACUUUCAAUUCAUGAAGCAAAUCAUGGAUGUGUAUGGUUAAGGUCAAUGAUUCAACAUAUUCGGGAAUCAUGUAGACUACCCUCUAUCAAAGAUAAUAUUAUCAAGUUACAUGAAGAUAAUCCUAUUUGUAUUAUACAAAUUAGAUGAAGAUUUAUAAAAGGUGAUAGAACUAAGUAGAUCUCUACCAAAUUCUUUCAUAGCUCUAAGAGGAUGGUGAAAUCAAUAUUUAGCAGAUCAAGUUGUAUGAUAAUCUAGUAGAGAUGUUCACAAAGUUACCAUCGAAUACAUUGAAAUGGUUAAGAUACAAUAUUGGAAUGAGGGAAUAGAGAGAUUUACCAUUGAAGAGUUGAAGAAAGCCUGAUCAUGUUUACAUGAGGAGAAUACUAACAUGGAUAUAUUACACUAUUUUUUCUUUUGUUCAAGUUUUAUCCCAUUGGGUUUUACUGACCAGGUUUUUAAUGAGACAAUUCUAAUGGUCAAAUUAUUUUAAGGGUAUUGUACACUUUGUCUUUCACUAAGUAUUUUUCCACUAGAUGUUCCUCAUUAAAGUUUCAAAAAGUCAUAUUCUUAUGGUCAUACAAGGGGAAGUGUUAUGAAUAAUGGAGUUUGCCACAAGAAUUUGUUAAGAUAUGGGAACUUGUAGAUGAUCAUCCAAUUUUUGAUAUAGAUGAUUAUCUAAAAUGUCGUUGUAAAUCUCCUUUUGACUUUUUAUAAAAGUGAGACCUUCUAACGAAUUGAAUAUACUACUCUAAGCAUAAUAAUUUGUUUAUCUUUCAAUUUCUUCUUCUUUUAUUUUAUAACAAAGGUUUUAGUUUUAGUUUUCCAAAAAAUUGAAUUUCAAAAAUAUUGAAAUAUAUAUAUAAAAAAAUCAACAAAAAACAAUUGUAAUACAAACAUGUGGCCUAAUAAGAGUGCACCACACAGUAAAAGAAUAAGUCAACUGAGAAGUGUGGAAUAAUUUUAUUUUUUUUAAAUGAUUUACUAAAAAAAUAUCAUGCAAUGCAAAACUUGUCAAUUUCGUAAUAUUAUAAUUAUUUCCUAUUAAAUAUUUGAAAAUAAAAAGGAAAAAAUGAAAUAAAUUGCAUACAUGUUCAAUUUUAACAUAAAAAAGAAACACAAAUUUGUUUUAAAUAAAAGAAAUGAAUUGUGUAAAUUAAUUACAUGUAGUCCUUUUUAUUUAAAUAAUCAGAAUUUUAAAAUUUGAGUUUUUUAAAAAUUAAACUAGAAAAAUAUUGAAAUAUAAAAGAAAAAUUGUUUUCAUAAAUAUAUAUAUAUAUAUAUAUAUAUAUAUAUAUAUAUAUAUAUAUAUAUAUAUAUAUAUAUAUAUAUAUAAAUAAUAAUAAUUCAUAUAAUUUCAUAAAAAUUUAAUAAAACAUAAGUUUGGUAUUAUAUGUUAAAUGAGGUUUUGAUUUUUUAAAAACUUUGACUCGAGAACUUCGACAUUGGAAGGAACAAAAGAUGUAUUUUAGAGUUUAAGGUUAGUUACUUUGCUUGUUCAUACAAUGAUAUUUGUAUUAUUUUUCUCAAAUCAUUUAUGCAUACACCGAACUUGUGCAAUUAUGACCAUCACCUAGUAAUGAGGAUCAUACCUUAACUUCACGAAGUUAAAGAUUAAAAAUCAUUUUCUUACUGAAAAACAUAAAGAUAACCAUUAAUAUUUUUUAGUUCCAACAUGAUAACUCUUUUUUUGGAUUUCAAAUAAAUAAUUCAAUUUGAAUUAAAAUCCUUUAUAUAUAUAGACACACAUAUAUCAUCAUUAUCAUCAUCAAAGUUUUAAUACGUCUCCCAUUGACACAAUUUCAUCAUCACCCACUAUUUUUUUUUUCCAACGAAAUGUUCUCCCUAAAUAUUUUACGCAACAAAAUAGUUUGUGGCAAAAAAGUUACUUUUCAUAGUGCAAAAUUUGUUGCCAUAAGGCCUGAAUUCAUGAAACUUUUGUUGGAAUUUAUAUAGGUGAAUGGAAAUUAGGAUUUUCUUUUUCUUGGAAAAUAUGUUAUUUCUUAAUAAACACAAUUUGUUUUAAAGGAUGUGUCUUAUAUUUAAAAAAUACGUCCUCUUCCAAAGGAUGUGUUUAAUGUCUUAAGACAUAAUCCUUCAAAUGAUGUGUUUAGUAUUUUAAAGACAUGUCUUUUCUAAAGGUCACCUUCAAGUUUAUAAAUGGGGAACCCCUGUCUCCCAUGGCACUUUCAUUCAUUCAUCCAUUCUCUCCACUCUUUCUCUUUUCUUGUCAUUCAAGUCCUCCUUAACUUCAAGUCUAAUUAUUUCUCUUUUCUACCAAAUAUUUAGUAUACAAGAGAGUACAAAUCACCAAGUGAUUCACCGUUUUUUGUGAUUUGAAGUGCUAUUAUCACAAGAAAGUGAUUAUUGUAUCCUGGAAGACGAUUGUCAAUAAACCAUAAACACAAUGAUAUAGAGUCAAACUUUAGUCUCAAUCAACCUUAUUUGUGAGUUUCAAUUUUCUACUUUAUUUUAUUUAUAUAUUUAUUAUACACACUUAUUAUCCAUAUAUCUUCAAUGUUUUAGAUAGAAAUCUUAAGACAAAUUUUAUUUUAUUUUUUACAACUGAAUUUUUCUUUUUAAGUGAAUCUGUUAUUGGGAUUGAGCCCCAAAAAAGUAAGACAUGAUGUAACAAAGUUAGACUUAACCAUCCACAUGCUAUCCCUUUGGUAUAUUGACAUUGAUUUGAGCAUUCAACUCAUGUCUCUUACAUUGUACAUGACUUGAGUGCAUUAUGAGUUCCACUAAAGAUACAAGUCAUGAGUUCUUUGUAAGUAGAUAAAUUGUCCACAGUUGGUUUAUGAAUUUGGGCAAUCCAAUAGAGACUCUAGUGCACCACCUCCUAACUAGAGGGAUGACUUGGCUUGGCUGUGGGAAUGGAUUUCCUAUGGUGAGUGCACUAGUGUAUGUGAUGUACACUAGAAAGGACCUAAGGUGAAUCAUCAUGCAAGGCUACCAAUUGUCACAAUUCACCAAGCUACUAGACUGCAUGUACUCUCAACCUUGAGAGGAUAUUGAGUUUGUGUCAAAAUCAACAGGAGGUUUUGACCUAUGGGUGAGACCUUAAAGUGGUCACAUAUCCUUAUGGAUUGGGUCACUAUUAAUGGAGUUCAUGGCAACAAGUAUUCUCAAUAAAAACAACAUGAUAUCUCAUAGGAUUGAGAUAGUGUAUCUCAUUAGGUGAUCCAAAGGACAUGUGAUCAUGUAAUCUUUGGCCAUAAUAAUUCCUUUAGUGGAAUUUGACAUUUGCUCAUUAGAGCUAGAGUAUGUUAAUCGAUUACAUAAUAAGUGGAAUAUGUAACUCAAUGAUUUGAGAGGUAAUCUCAAUAGGUGAUAACACUACCUUGUUAGAUUACAAACACCAGUUUAUGGGGAGUUUGCAUGUACUGGAUAGUAAGUCACGGACUUGGGCACUUGAUGUCUCGUUAUAAUAUACAUAUGGUACUGAAGUGCAGUUGACUCUCUAUAGUGGGAUGUUGAGCCAAUUUCAGAAUUUGAUUCUGAGGAAGCCAAUGAAUAUGGGUCCUAAUGGUCUCUACUCUAAGCUCAUAUUCCUUAUUGGCACAGUUUAUGAGGUUUGGAUGGGUUUUUAGUUCACUUUUUUUGCAUAGAGGCAUUUUAGUAAUUACAUAAGGUUGCACAAGGAUAAGUGGGUGGUAUCUCUAAACUGGGUUAAUUGAUUAAUUAAGGCCUUGUAUGGUUAAUUAAUCAAUUAGUAACCUUUUUUAGUUAUAUUAAGUGACCUAAGCCUAUGAUGACUCAAGUCACUUGAGCUUAAUAGGAAGCUUAUAAAUACCCUUUUAAAGGUUAAAGUUUUAAAGUCUUGUCAUUCUCUCCUUUAGUUUAGAUAGAAAACCAUAGCCUUUAUCCUUGAGAGCUCCACCAUCUUAGUGCCUAGACAUAAGAAAGAGUCAUCAGGCGAAAGAUCAUGGUGAUUACGAGAUCUAUUACACUUUGGAGUUAUCUACAUUGAUUGGAAUUGAUCCGAGAACAUCCAAAUCAAAUGUAUGUGACUCUAUUCUCUAUAUCUAUGUUUUUUAUGGUAUUCUUAUUGUUUUUUAAUACCUAUUUAUCCACUACGAUAGAUUUGGAGAGCCUAGGAUAGAUUUGUAUGUACCCUACACGAUCUAGCACAUGGGAACAAAGUAAUCCAAGGUUCCCAACAAUUGCAUCUUCUAUUAUACCUCUUAUUAUUGCACAUGGUGAGAAACCUAGAAGUUCACUAGGAUAGACUUCAAGAAGUGGCUAAAGCACCCUUUCAUUCUAUUGAAAGGAACAUUAAGCCUUUAGAAUUAAUUCACAUUGAUAUUUGUGAUUUAAAGUUUAUGCAAACUAGAAAAGGAAAAAAGUAUUUUGUCACUUUCCUUUAUGAUUGCACAAGAUACAGUUAUGCAUAUUUUCUAAGAAACAAAAAUGAGGCCCUAGAAGUGUUUAAACACUAUAAGAAUGAGGUUGAAAAUCAACUUAGCAAGAAGAUAGAGAUGAUAAGAAGAGAUAGAGGUGAAUAAUAUAAACCACCUUUUGAUGAGUUCUAUUUAGAGCAUGGUAUUAUUCAUCAAGCCACUGCUCCUUAUUCACCUCUAUCAAAUAGUAUUGUUGAAUGCAAGAAUCGAACAUUAAAGGAUAUGAUGAAUGCUAUGUUGAUAAGUUCUUAUUUAUCCUAGAAUUUGUAGAGGGAAGAAAUUCUUUCUGCUACCCACGUUCUAAACAAAAUACCACACAAGAAAAAUGAUGUAAAUCCAUAUGAAUUAUGAAAAGAAAGAAAACUAUCUUCUAAAUAUUUGAAAUUGUGAGGGUGUUUAACUAACGUAGUUAUUUCUAACUCUAAAAAAGUUUAUCGGUAAUGCCAAUAAUAGUAGUGCAUAUCAGUUCCUUGUAUAUAAAUUAUACAUUCUUGAUAUUCAUGAAAAUACAAUCAUUGAGUAAAGAAAUGUCUUAUUUUAAGAGAACACCUAUCCAUGUAAAAGUAUACCAGAGAAAAGUUCUCAAAAAAGAACAUAUGAGACUGCUAGUAGUAGUCAUCAAGAUGUUGAAGAACCCAGACACAGUAAAAGGGUCAAAGUAUCUAAGUCAUUUGUUCUUGAUUAUCUAACUUAUAUGUUAGAAAAUGAAUCUCAUACAUUUAAGGAAGAGCAUAGAAUAGCAUGUAUAAUGGUAAGUUUUUACAUAUACGUCAAAGACACAAUAUAGUAAGAUAGUUACUUUCAAAUGAAGUGAUUUCCAUUGAUUACAUGAAAUCAAAAGACAGUCGUAUAGAUCUGACUUACUAAAGGUUUGCCAAGAGAUCAAGUUAACUACUUAUUGAGGGGAAUGAGAUUAAAGCCUAUGACCAAAUAGUCUUCAUAAUGGUAACCCAACCUAGUUGGUUGGAGAUCCCAAGAUCUAGGUUCAAAGGGACAACUAAGUUAUGAAUGACUAAAACAAACACUAAAGAUAUUAUCUCUUUUACCUAUUCCUAUGAUGAAAUAGUGUUUUUCUAUAAUGUGAACUUGGUUAAGCUUUGCUUUAAUGAAUCCUAUAGCUUGGAAAACAAGUGGGGUAUGGUAGGAUACUCUUAAUAGGAAUCACGUAUGUGAGUGUGAAAUUGGGUCAUUUCUAUGAGAAUUUUUAAGGCUAAAAUUCUCCAUGACACUCAUGAAAUCAAGAUUUGUCCAGGGCCAAAAUGAACACAACUAUGAGAAUUAAUGGUGAUUCAGAAAGGAAUUGAGUGGAUAUUAUUGCAUAUCAGUUCCUUGUAUAUAAAUUAUACAUUCUUGAUAUUCAUGAAAAUACAAUCAUUGAGUAAAGAAAUGUCUUAUUUUAAGAGAACACCUAUCCAUGUAAAAGUAUACUAGAGAAAGUUAUCAAAAAAGAACAUAUGAGAUUGCUAGUAGUAGUCAUCAAGAUGUUGAAGAACCCAGACACAGUAAAAGGGUCAAAGUAUCUAAGUCAUUUGUUCCUGAUUAUCUAACUUAUAUGUUAGAAAAUGAAUCUCAUACAUUUAAGGAAGAGCAUAGAAUAGCAUGUAUAAUGGUAAGUUUUUACAUAUACGUCAAAGACACAAUAUAGUAAGAUAGUUACUUUCAAAUGAAGUGAUUUCCAUUGAUUACAUGAAAUCAAAAGACAUUCGUAUAGAUCUGACUUACUAAAGGUUUGCCAAGAGAUCAAGUUAACUACUUAUUGAGGGGAAUGAGAUUAAAGCCUAUGACCAAAUAGUCUUCAUAAUGGUAACCCAACCUAGUUGGUUGGAGAUCCCAAGAUCUAGGUUCAAAGGGACAACUAAGUUAUCUCUUUUACCUAUUCCUAUGAUGAAAUAGUGUUUUUCUAUAGCGUGAACUUGGUUAAGCUUUGCUUUAAUGAAUCCUAUAGCUUGGAAAACAAGUGGGGUAUGGUAGGAUACUCUUAAUAGGAAUCACCUAUGUGAGUGUGAAAUUGGGUCAUUUCUAUGAGAAUUUUUAAGGCUGAAAUUCUCCAUGACACUCAUGAAAUCAAGAUUUGUCCAGGGCCAAAAUGAACACAACUAUGAGAAUCAAUGGUGAUUCAGAAAGGAAUUGAGUGGAUAUUAUUGUUUUUAUUUACAUCAACAACUAAACAGUUCAAGAUAUCACGUUCACUGAUUAGCUAGUAAAUUUGAUAAUAUUUCACUAAGAUUCAAAGUCACAAGUUACCUAUCCUAACACAAUUACUUUCCAACUUGUACUCUUUUGAUUGUUUAGCUUGUCAUUUGAAUUUUUUUAAGACAAUUUCCAUUCAUGUGAGGGAUUAUUGGAAUUCAUAUAAGUGAAAGGAAAUUAGGAUUUUUUUUCUUAGAAAACGUGUUGUUUCUUAAUAGACACAACUUAUUUUAAAGAAUGUGUCUUGUAUUGAAAAGACACAUCCUCUUCCAAAGGAUGUGUCUUGUAUUUAAAAGACACAUCCUAUUCCAAAGGAUCUGUUUAAUGUCUUAAGAAACAAGCCUUCAAAGGAUGUAUCUAGUAUUUUAAAGACAUCUCUUCUAAAGGUCACCUUCAAAUCUAUAAAUAUACAUUUCUUCUGAAUGAAUAUUCAUCCAUUCUCUCCACUCUUUCUCCUUUAUUAUUAUUCAAGUCCUCUUUAGCUUCAAGUCUAGUCAUUUCCUUUUUUUUACCAAAUAUUUGGUAUACAAGUGAGUACAAAUCACCAAGUGAUUCACCAUUUUUUUUAUUUUUUUUUGUGAUUUGAAGUAUUACUAUCACAAAAAAGUGAUUGUUGUAUCCUAUGACACGAUUGUCAAUAAACCAUAAGCACCUGAGUGGGACAAAUUCGUCUUAAGAAUAUAAAGUCAAACUUUAGCCUCAAUCAACCUUAUUUGUGAGUUUCAAUUUUCUACUUAUUUCAUUUUAUUUGUAUAUUUAUUAUACACACUUAUUAUUCAUACUUUUUUUCAAAGAUUUGGACGACUUUAGUAGUAAAUAGAGAUUUCUUCUCCAAACAUGAUUUUAGGAGAAGAAAUUAUGUUUAUGGAAAAAAUUUUAUUAUAGAAAAUCAAAUUUAAUGUAGUAGACCUUGACCUAUUGUGUUUGAAAGUCUAUGAUUAUUGAUAAAAAAAAAAAAAUUAAUGUUAUUUUUCUUUUAAUUACAAGCCUUAUAUAUAUAUAUAUAGUUAAUAUUUAAGUAAAAAACCUUUUAGAAAUGUCAAGUCAACUCUAUUUAUGGAAUAGUUUUAAAUUUUCCUUUUAGCGAAAGUUGAAAUAAAAGUAAAAUAACUACUUUUAUUAUAAGUUGAUUUUAUGUUUGGAAUUAAAUGCUUUUAUUCAAAAUAAAGAAUAAUUAAGAUAUUUUUAAAUUUUAGUUAAAUAAAACUUGUUGAAUACACCAAUAUUUUCUCUCUUUACACCCAUCUUAUUUUUAAUUUUUUCUUCAUCAUCCUUUUGACACUCAUGUCUCAAAUCUUAAUUAGCUUUCUUAUUCACUUUUCCUCUCCUUUCCUUUAUUUUAUUUAAAUUUUCUUUUAACUAAAAUAGAAAAACAACUAAAAAAUAAAAAGGGUGGUGUGCAACCAUGACUAUUGUUGUUAUAGAUAUAAAAGAAUUGAUGGGUUAAAUUACCACUAAAUUAAUCAUCAAAACUUUAACUUUUUAACUCAAUAAAAUUUAGACUUGACAAGCAAUGAGUCAUACACAUUGAAUAAAUCUUAUGUAAUUCAAAAAGUGAUAUAUGAUUAAAUUUGAAAGGCUAGGAAAUCAAAUCUUGUAAAAUAAAAAUAAAAUAAAAUAAUUAAAGUAAAAAGAGAAUUAGAAAAAGAUAUUCUCUUGUUUGUAAAUUUCUGAAAUGAAAGAAACAAAUUAUUUAAUUGAAGUCAAAAGAGAAUUGUAAAGAAAUAUUCUCUUGUUGAUAAAUUUUUUAAAUGAGGGACACAAAUUGCUAAAUCAAUUUAUCAAAUUCCUUAAAUUGAGUAAUCAAAUAUUGGGGAUUCCAAAUUUAAUUUCUUAACUUCACCUAUAAAUAAAGAUCAACUUCUUCAAUAUAGGGGAUUAAAAAAUAAAUAAAUAAACUUUAGAAGAAGACAAAGAAAAAAGGUUUCACAAAAUGGCCCUACAAGUCCAACAAAAGCACAUGAAAAACUAGAUAUAUAUUUUUCACCGUUCUCAAAGUUCAAUAAAGUCAUUUAGAAACAAGCUAUGCAAAACUCUCAAUUGAACUUUAAUUUCAAAGAAAUACUUACACCGUCAUUCAUUGGAUUGUGAUUAAAACAAUCAAAUCAGAGAAAAAUUUUCUUUACAAAGAAUAUUAUAAUAGAGAAUUGUACCUCAUAAUUUUUCUAAUUGGGAAAAUUUAGGUAGGUGUAUUUAACAAUUCUUUAAAAAAUAAAUUUUAUCCCUAAAAAAUUAAUAUACAUUUAUAGGAGCACUAAGUGACAAAAUUCGAAACUAAUGGAUGUUUGAUGUAAUGCUAUGAAAAUUAGACUGAAUGAGGGCCCAAUUGCUCUGAAUCACCACAUGAAGCCAAAAAUGAGUUGAAUCAGUAUUAAAUCAGUCCAACCACUAGGUGAGUAAGCUCAACCAAUUCAAAAGCUGCACUUUAUUCCCUUUUUUCUUUUCCAAAACUCACCUAACAGUCCAAGUCACUCACCCUCCUCACAUAGUUUUUAUUUUUUAUUUUUUUGUUAAUGUUUGGAUAUGGGAAUAAAGAAAAAAUACAAGACAUGCAAGCAAGGGAAAGGAAAAGUAAUGGGAGGGAUAAAAGAUUCAUAAUAAUGAUAAGGGUCUAGGUAUGGUACAAAUAACACCUUUUUAGUAGCAAUUUGUGGGUGUUACAUGUGCACUGGUUCAUUGCUUUGUUCUUAGCAUCUCAUUAUUUUGUAUUGUGUCCACCCAAGUUGGAUCAAUCUAUGCAUCACUUUCCUCCUCAAGAUCAAAAAACCAAAAAACAAAAAAAGGAUAGGUCGGUUAGGCAAACCUUUCUUCAACAAUCAAAUUAACCAUCAAGUUAAGUGAAAAAGACAUAAGAUGAAAUUGUUUUUGUAUCUUAUUUUGGAAGUGAGACUUCCUUUUAUAGAUUUAUUUUGGUGUAUUAAUUAUGAGAAGUUAAUAAAUGAAGCAUCAAUUCUAUAUUGUACCUUAAAUGAUUUACAUUAUGAGUAUCUUAAAGGCUCUAAUCAUUGUGCAAUAAUUAUGGAAUGACAUUCAAGAUUUUGGUCAUUAUGUGAUUAAUUUGUGAAUCAUUGUCAUUACAUAAUUAAUGUAUAGGUUAUCCUUUAUACAAGGUCGUGUUUUGCAAUAGUGAUCAUAUUUUGAGUGGGAGUCAUUCCUAAAUGUGAUCAAUGCUUUUUGUGAUGUGAUGAUGAUAAUGAUCUAUUAUUGUAGUGAGGUGGGUCUCAUGGGGCCUCAUGACAAGCAUUAUAUGGAGGUAGCACAUUGCUUUUUUUAACUCUGCUAUAUGACAAAGGAUUUUCAUUUCCCUACACUUCCUAUUUUACACGUGAACUAAUUAUUUUAUAUUUUAGUUCCAUUAUUGUGUAGUUUAGUCUUAUUACAUGCAUUACAUUUUAAUCUCAUUGAUCUAUAUAAUGGUUCCAUGUGUUUGUAACAUGGUUCUUUAUACUUUCAUUUAGUGACUCAAAUUUUAUUAUAUACUUAAAUCAUUAGGAUUAAAAUUUCAAUAUCAUAUCAAAUAUAAACCCAAUAUAUUCUUUUUUAUAAUAAUAAAUUUAUUGAAGAAAGGUAUGACUGAAUAUUAGAGAUUGUGGCUCUCAAGUUAACACUAAAAAAACUACGCACAUAGAAGAUUUUGUUGUUAAAAAACUUGAGGAGAAUUAUUUCCAACUAGUGACAUGUGUUAGGUAUAAAGUUGUCUUUAAUAAGAUUGAUAACUACAUUACUUAAAUAUAAAACCUUAUUGGUAAUAAUAGUAAAGGAUUGAUUAUGACACCAAAUACUACUUUUUUCGUAUCAUAUCAAAAAGUUGUCAUCAACUAAGGGUAUCAAAUGCAUGCAUGUUGAUCCUAUUACUUGUUUUAUACCAUAUAUGCGAUCUCAUUGAUCCAUACCUUUAUUCAAUUAUUUUGUACCAUGUGAUAGCUCGUUCCCUUGCUUUUGUUAUGUAUUACAUGGGACUUUGGUUCCAUUAUUUUGUAUUCAAGUGUUUUAUUAUUUUAUAAUUUAUAUAUAAUUUUAUUGUUUUCUACCUUAGUUUCACUGUUAUUAACUGUGAAUGACAAUUUCAAUCAAAAGUUUUCUAUGAUAUGGGAUGUAUAUUAUAUAUUAAAUUUAUCAUAGAAGGGAGAUAAUUGCUCCCCAUCUAAUGCUUGUCAGAAAAUUAGAGAUUUUUUUUCUAGAAUUGGGUCAAAAAGUUAUGUGUGACAUUUAAAUUUGCCUGCUUAUAUGAUGGAGAUAAGAACAUUUGGAAUUAGAGAAUUAGUGGAUGUUCAAUUAGUGGAAUUAAUUUAGAUAAUAUUGAAUGGAUGUCUUACAAAGUGGACUAAAUUUUAUCAAUUUGAUUGAUUCGAAAAAUUCAUAUGUUUAACAGAAUUAAUAUUUGUGACUAAUUAUAUCAAUUUCGACAUGAAAAGACAUUAUGAGAAUAAUUCCUUUUUCUAUUAAAAAUUGUCCGCUCCAUACGAAAAGACAAACUUGACAUGAAAAGAAAUAAUUUCAUAAAUAUUGAAUUAUAUUAUUUGUUAAGGAGGAUUGAAUAUUCUAUAUUCUAUUAGAGAUAUGAAUAUUCCCAGGAAAAAGAAACAAAAAAAGACAAAAAUUUGGAUGGAAAAGUCCAUGCAUUAGUAUUAACACAAUGACAGACGCCCACAGCCUAAGACUUCAACAUUAGAAAUAUGAAUAUUCUAUAUUCUAUUAGAGAUAUGAAUAUUCCCAGGAAAAAGAAACAAAAAAAGACAAAAAUUUGGAUGGAAUAGUCCAUGCCUUAGUAUUAACACAAUGACACACGCCCACAGCCUAAGACUUCAACGUUAGAGAUAUGAAUAUUCUAUAUUCUAUGUCGGCCAUGACAUCACCUCCAUUCUUCUUCUCCAAGCCAAAACCACAUGGUGAAGAUCUAUAUAUCUAUCUGAAUCAUCCGGUGUUUAAUUCCACUGAAAAUAAGAAAAUUUCUUAGAGUUCUCUCUGUUAGCCGUAGUAUUAGCUAGUGAUGAUGAAGAAAAUAGAGCUUAUUUUUGUCUCUGUCUCAGCUAUAGGACAUAUUGUAUCAACUGUGGAGUUUGCUAAGCUUCUUGUUGGUAGAGAUGACCGCUUCUCAGUCACUCUGCUCAUCAUGAAGCUACCUCUUGAGGACUCUGCGGCAACCAACUAUAUCCAUUCAGUUUCUGCUUCUGUUUCCGGGUCCAUUCGAUUUGUCCACCUUCCUGAACUCGACUCAGAUUCAUCAUCGUCAUCCACUAAUGUCUUAUUCUCUAAUAUCAUUGAAAGGCAGAAGCCUCUGGUGAGGGAUGCAAUCCACCAGCUCACUCGGUCUGAGUCGGGUCGACUCGCUGGGAUUGUGGUCGAUUUGCUUUGCACUUCCAUGAUAGAUGUAGCUAAUGAAUUGGGUGUUCCUUCCUAUGUGUACUUCGCCUCCAGUGCGGCCUGCCUUGCUCUCAUGUUUCAUCUUCAAACCCUCAAGGACCACCAGGGCGUGGAUGUUACUGAGUUUGCUAACUCGGAUGCUGAGUUGGUGGUCCCGGGUUUUGUCAACCCGGUUCCUGCUCGAGUCUUGCCUGCUGUGGCGGUGGACAAGGAGGGUGGCGGAUCCAUGGAUUUCCUCGACCUGGCAAGGGGCUUUAGAGAGGCCAAGGGUAUUUUGGUAAAUACGUUUGUGGAGCUAGAAUCUCAUGUGAUUAACUCCUUUGUCGAUGGUACAACUCCUCCCAUUUACAAAGUAGGGCCAUUAUUGAACUUACAACAUGCCAACAACCAAAAACCAGAUAGUGACUUGGACGUCAUCCGAUGGCUUGAUGAUCAGCCCACAUCAUCUGUGGUGUUUUUAUGUUUUGGUAGCGCUGGAGCAUUCCACAUGGAUCAAAUCAACGAGAUUGCAAUUGGGCUCGAGAAUAGUGGGCAUCGUUUCUUGUGGACACUCCGACGACCUCCACCAAAAGAUAAGAUGGCAAUAUCUAGUGAUUAUGUAAAUUUCGAGGAAGUAUUACCUGAAGGGUUCUUAGAUCGUACAUCUAAAAUUGGGAAGAUAAUUGGAUGGGCACCACAAACGGCUAUUUUAGCUCACUCUGCAGUAGGAGGGUUUAUAUCUCAUUGUGGGUGGAAUUCUACAUUAGAAAGCAUAUGGUAUGGUGUCCCAGUAGCCACAUGGCCUAUGUAUGCAGAACAACAAUUGAAUGCGUUUCAAAUAGUUAGAGAGUUAGAAAUGGGGGUAGAGAUUAGAUUUGAUUAUAACAUGGAUACUAGUAAUCUUGUAAGUGCUCAAGAAAUUGAGAGUAGAAUAAGAAGUCUAAUGGAUGAUAGCAGCAACAUUAGAAUGAAAAGGACAAAAAUGAAAGAGAAGUGCAUGAAGGCCUUGACAGAAGGUGGAUCUUCAGACUGUAGCAUACAACGUCUAAUUGGAGACAUCAUAACUAAUAUCUCAUGAAGCGCAAAUUAUAGCAAUGUAUUAUCAAAAAAAGGUUCUAAGUCCUUAAAAAUGUUUGUUUCAAUUGCUUUUAAUAAUGUAAUGGUUGAGUGUCAUAGAAAAAUUGAUUAAAAAAUUAAGUUGGAAAAAAUGUAUUGUCUACUUAUUUUAAAUAAAAAUAAAAAUGGCAUAUGUUACAUCUUGUGUGACAUCUUUAUUUUAAUAUUAGAUGAUGUAUCAAAUCCAAAUUGUAUGGGAAUAUAAAAGGGUUUUAGGCUUUCUCAUCUUAUAUGUCUUGUUCUUGUAAGCCCUCAUACGAAAUGAUCACAUCCCAUUGCCAUUUCCAUUCAAUUUGGUGUUUAAUUUUGUUGUUAUUAAUUGUAAGAGGUUAGUUUUACAAAUCUUCCUCAUAUUUGAUUAUAAAUAUUUGAAUUUUCAAUACCUAACCUUGUCUCAUGUUAUUUGGGAGUGGUUAUUAAAGGAUUAAAGUAACUUUGUCAAAGUUGUGGUUGUGAAAUGAUAAAAUUUUGGUUUUAGUAAUAUAAUUUUUUAGACUUAGGUAUUUGGUAAAUUAACUUAAUAAGUUAAAAUAACUUGAUAACUUAAUUUAAGUUAUUAAGUAAAUUAAGUAUGUUUGGUAAAAUAAAGAUUUAAAGUAAAAAACAACUUUAAGCAAUAAGGAAAAUAAUUAACUUAUUUUUAAGUAUCCUCAUUUGACAUUUUUAUCCCCAUUUACAUUAAUUAUCUCCACAAUCUCUUUUGCUACUUCACGAUCUUCAUUGUUACUCGACCUCAUUUUCCCUAAUUAUAAUUUAUGAGAAUAAAUAUAUUAAUUUAAUUAUUUGAAAUAAAUUUUACAACCUUAAUACUUAAAGUAAUAAUUAAGUAAUAAAUUUUAAAUCAACAACAUAAGUAUAAUUUAACUUAAAGUCAACUUAAGCGACUAAGUAAUAAGUAUUAAGUUUUACCAAACAUUCCCUUAGGUGGUGUUUGUAUUUUUUUUUUACUUAGUUAUAAAUAGAAUUUAAAACUAAAUAGCGUUUAAUAAUGUUAAGUAUUAAGUUAUUUGUUUUUAUAAUAUUUUAUUUCUAUUAAGUAUAUAAAAAUAAAGAAAAAUCAAUAUAUUAUUUUUUCUAUAAAAAAUUAAAGAUUUUGAUUAUUUUUUACUCAACAAAAAAUUUAUAAUAAGUUAUAAAAAAUAGAAAAAUAACUCUCUUAGUUUAUAUUAAUUUCUUCUUUAACUUAAAUGAUUUUAAUUUUUUUGUAGUUUUUUUAGUGACUUUUUUAAAAAAGACACAAAAAUGGACUUUUUUGUGCUUAAGCUUUUCAAAUUAAUAUAUAUUUUUAUUAUUUUGUAUUUCAUAUUAAUAUAAUUAAAAAUAAAAAAAUUGUUAAAAUAUCCAAUGUGUAUAAAAGGAAAUGAAUCAUGGGUAGAAACAAAUGGAAUCAUGCUAAAUUAUAAAUAAAUAAGAUAUUUUUGUUAUAUUGUAUUUUUUUAUUUUAUUGAUCACCAUUUUUUUAAAUGAGAUCGUGAACUACAUUUUAGUAUCAUAGAAUGGCCCAAAAAGAAUAUGACACAUGGCAUAAUAAAUAGACAAAUGCAUUACAUGUGAGGCUGGUCCCAAAGGUGAUGGGGGUUGGAGAGAAUAGGAGUUGCACGUGGCACCCAAAUACCAUAUUCCCAAAAUCAGAAAAUAAAUUCGCGAAUUGAGGGAAACCCUAGGAGAGAGAGGAGAAAGGAGAGAAUGGGGAAGAAGAAGAAGAGAGCAGCUAAGGUGUUCUGCUACUACUAUGAGAGGGAGUUCGAGGAUGAGAAGAUUCUUCUUCAGCACCAGAAGGCCAAGCACUUCAAGUGCCAUGUUUGCAACAAGAAGCUCUCCACUGCCUUUAGCAUGGCCAUCCACAUCCUCCAGGUCCACAAGGAGACCGUCUCCAAGUACUAUUGCUUGUCAUUUGCAUUUUUUUUUUAAGACAAUUUCCAUUCAUGUGUUGGAUUGUUGGAAUUUAUAUAGGUGAAUUGAAAUUAAGAUUUUUUUUUUCUCAUAAGACAUGUUGUUUCUUAAUAGACAUAACUUGUUUUAAAUGAUGUAUUUUGUAUUUAAAAGACACAUCCUCUUCCAAAUGAUUUGUUUAAUGUCUUCAGAGACAACUAUAAACCCUCUAAUUUGUUCUCUUAGCACAUGUGACACUAGGUGUCUUCUCAUACUUCUCUUUUGACUCAUAGUCAUCCCUUAGUGGCCCAUCGACAAUUAUAUAGUUUCAUUUUCUAAGCCACCUUUAGGAACUCUUUGCUAAGGGACUCAUUUAGACCCACAUUGUGACCUUGGCCACCCUUCAUCCUUAGGUUAGAUCCUACUUAGGUUCACCUAGGCCCUCUUAGAUUUACUAAAGCCCACCUUGACACACCUUGACCCAUUUUGGUCACUUUUCGGUAAUUCCUGCAUGACUUACAUAAUUUGCAUGAUUUGCAUUUUUAACGCUCGCAUAUACUUGAUUUUCUUAUUUAUUAAUUUUUCUAUUUAUUUAUUUCUAUUUAGUAUUAUUGGUGUAGGGAUUUGUUUAUCUUUCUUUAUUUAGUUACCUAUUUUCAGAAAAUUGCAUGUGGUUGGUUAUCUUGUCUCUUUUAUUAUUAUUAUUAUUAUUACUAUUAUUAAAUUUGCAUGAAUUAAUACUUUAGUUUUCUCUUUUAUUUAUAUAUAUAUAUAUAUAUAUAUAUAUAUAGAUAGAUAUUCUUUGACAUGAAAAUCACGGGUCGCAUAUUGACAUAGUGAAGGAGGUCACAACAUAUUGAAAAUUUUUGGAGGAUCAUGAGGACUUUGUUUUUUUUUGGAAAGUUACCACCUUGAGAAGAUGAAGGGAAUGAGACCGCACCAUGGGAACUUGGGUUGCACCAUGGGAAAUCAAGUUACUCUAGGAAGAGUGUAAAUGUGAAGUUGUGUUAGACUUAAGUCUUUUAUUUUUUGUCAACUCCUUGGGAAGAGUCUCAUUAGGAGUGUGCUAGUAGAGUCCCAUUCCGCUGACAAGUAGAGUCUCGUUCUGCUUAUAAGUAGAGUCCUAUUCUGAUUACAAGUAGAGUCAUGUUCUGAUUAUAAGUAGAGUCACCCCUGACUGUCAAAUAAUUUUUUUUUUAAAGAGUUCUUCUAAACCUUCCAAUGUUUUGCUUUCCUCUCCAUUCUUUCAUACAUCUAUCUGGAGGAAUUUUUUAGAACCCAAGUUGUACACGUCUUGCCUAUAAAGUGCACCCAAAGCGAGAUUCAUUGGUACCCUAGUGCACCAAGUUCGUUUUGGAGAAGGGUGGAUCUAUUUCAAAGACAAUGCUUGUUACCCCUCAACCUAUCACCGAUAAGUUUCUUGUUAUUCAUUCCACUCUUUGUUUGUGUGUUUUGGGCUAGUCCUCUGUUUUCAUACCCUUAAAACAACAAUCUUGAAAUAGAUCCAAAUGGAAGCUUCCCUAGUUCACACCUGUCCUAACACCUCUAAGAUUGAUCCCUUCAAUAUGACAUUCUUUGAGAGAUGGCAGGAAAUAGUUUUCUCUGUAAUUGAUGUAGUGAACUUGGGACACAUUUUAACUAACCUAAAACCAGAAAAUGGUUCUGAAUUGUUGCCUACUUAGGAAAUUGAUAAUAAACAAGUUAGACAUGAUAUUCUUAGUACCCUUUCUAAUGAAAUUUUUGAUGUUUAUUGUCAGUAUAAAGUUGCAAAAGAAAUUUGGGAUGCAAUGAAUAAAAAAUAUAUUUUGGAAGAUGUAAGAACUCAUAAAUAUGCAAUAGGGAAUUUAACAAAUUUCCAAAUGACCAAGGAUAUCAACGUAUCAUCUCAAAUCCAUUACUACCAUUUGUUGAUUAAUGACUUAGCUAUUAAAGAAAUUAAAUUACCUGAACCUUUUGUGGUUAGUUACUUAGUAGAGACUCUUCCAGAGUCUUGGAAAGACUGAAAAAAUAACAUGAAAUAUCAAAGGAAACAAAUGUCCCUAGAAGAUAUCAUAAUCCAUAUUAGGAUUGAGGAAGAAAAUCGAAAUAUGGACAAUGUUGAGAAAGCUAAGGAACUGUCUUCUAAGGCUAAUGUAGUAGAAGAAAAACCUAAACCCAAAAACAAUAAGUCCAGAAAGCAAAACAUUAGGACCAAGCCUAAUGUAUCAAACAAGGUUUAGAACCUAACUAUUAAAAAAUAGUGUAAUUGCUUUGUCUGUGGCAAGUCUGGACACCAUGCAACUCAAUGCCACCAUAGGAAGAGAACUGAGAAGUCUAAUUCAAAGGAAAAUCUGGCAAAGACAGAGGUGAUCACAACAAUAGCCUUCUCUGAUGUGAGCAUUAUCUUUAAUAUGAAGGAUUGAGUGGUAGACUCUAGGGCUACCAAGCACAUCUAUGGAAACAUAAGUGCAUUUGCUUCCUAUACCACUAUAAAGAAAGAAGAGGAACAAGUGUUCAUGGGCAAUUCUAGAUCUACCCUAGUGAUUGGCAAAGGAAAAGUUCUUCUCAAGCUAACCUCUGGAAAAGUGCUCGCCGCCCAUAGUGAUGUUCUUCAUGUGCCAAAUAUCCGCUGGAACUUGGUGUUAGUAUCUUUGUUUGGGAAAGCAAGAGUGAGGAUCUUGUUUGACUCCGAUAAAAUAGUUUUAACCAAGAAUGAUGCAUUUGUGGGGAAGGGCUAUUGUAAUCACAGUUUAUUUAUGUUGAAUAUUUUUAUAUUAUCAAUAAUAAUGCAUCUUCUUCUUCUGCUUACAUAGUUGAUUCGUGUGAUAUUUGGCAUGGUAGAUUAGGACAUGUGAACUUUUCAUAUACGAAGAAAAUUGUUGAAUUGAGUUUAAUCCCUAAGUUGUCCUUAGAAAAUCUUAGAAAAUGUUAAUCAUCUGUAGAAUCUAAAACCACAAAGAAAUCUUGCAAAUCAGUAGAAAGAGAAUCAGAUUUACUAAGUUUAAUACACAGUGACUUAGGAGACCUAAAAAAUACAAUGACUAGAGGUGGUAAACGAUUCUACAUAACUUUCAUAGAUGACUACUCAAGGUAUACAAGGGUAUAUCUUUUGAGAAACAAAGAUGAAGUAAGAGAUGUUUUCAUCAAGUACAAAAAUGAAGUGGAAAAUCAACUAAGUAAGAAGAUUAAAAAGCUUAGAACUGAUAAAGGAAGAGAGUAUGAGUCCAACCCCUUUAAUUAUUUUUGUGAAGAUCAUGGGAUCAUUCAUGAAACUACUACUCCUUAUUCUCCUUACUCUAAUGGAGUAGCAGAAAGAAAAAAUAGGACCUUAAAAGAAAUGAUAAACGCAAUGUUGGUAAGUUCAGGAGCACCCUUGAACUUGUGGGGGGAAGUUAUCAUUUCCUCUUGUCAUAUUCAAAAUAGAAUACCUUACAAGAGAACUGGUAAAACUCCUUAUGAGUUGUGGAAGGGUUAUGCACCUAAUAUAACAUACCUGAAAGUGUAGGGUGAUUAGCUAAAGUUCUUUUCCCUAAACCUAAUGUUCGUUGGCUAUGCUGAGAAUAGUGUGACAUAUAGGUUUCUUGUUACUAAGUCAGAAAACAGUCUUAUGGAUGUCAAUACCAUAAUAGAAACAAAGAAUGAGGAUUUCUUUGAAAACAUAUUUCCUAUGAAACUAAAUGGUGAACAACAAGUUCAGAAAACAAGUAGAGAUGAGUCUAUUGAACCUUCUAAGUUUGAACCUAGAAGGAGUAAAAGAGAUAAGAAAGAAACAAACCUUAGAGAUGGCUUUUAUGCCUUCCUAAUAGAUGAAGACCCAAGAUCCUACAAAGAAGCUAUAACUUCUCCUGAUGCACCAUUCUGGAAAGAGGUCAUUAACAGUGAAAUCGAAUCAAUCAUGUAUAACCAUAAAUGAGAGUUAGCAAAUUUACCUCCUGGUGCAAAGACUAUUUAUUGUAAGUGGAUAUUUAAAAGAAGGUUAAAAUAAGAUGAGUCUGUAGAGAAGUAUAAAGCUCGUUUAGUUUCCAAAGGCUUUAAACAAAGGAAUGAUGUAGAUUACUUUGACAUAUUUUCCCUUGUGACUAGAAUAGCGUCAAUUAGAGUAUUGAUCGCUCUAUCUUCCAUUCAUAACCUGGUGAUACACCAAAUGGACGUCAAAAUUGCAUUCUUGAAUGGGGAUUUGGAAGAGCAAAUUUAUAUGGAACAACUUGAGGGUUGUGUAGUUCUAGGGAAGAAGAAAAAUGUGUGUAGGUUGGUUAAAUCACUAUAUAGGUUAAAACAAGUUCCCAAACAAUGGCACAUCAAGUUUGAUCAUGUGUUAGUAACUAAUAGAUAUUCCAUUCAUGAUGUUGAUAAAUGUAUCUACAACAAGUAUGAGGAUAACACAUGUGUAGUCAUUUGCCUUUAUGUUGAUGACAUGCUGAUUUUUGGAACUAGCCUAGAGGUUGUGUGUAAGACCAAAAAAUUCCUAGGUUCUGAGUUUGAUAUGAAAGACCUAGGAAAGGUAGAGGUGAUUCUAGGAAUUAAAAUAACUAGAACACAUAAUGGGCUUAAGCUUUCUCAAGAGCACUAUGCUGAGAAGAUCCUAAAGAAGUUUGAACACUUUGAUUGUAAACCAGUGUCAACUCCUUAUGAUCUCAGCUCACAACUGAAGAAAAAUAAAGAACAAAAUGUUGCCCAAAUCGAGUAUGCUCAAAUCAUAGGAACCCUAAUGUACUUAAUGAACUAUACCAUACUUGACAUUGCUUAUGUAGUAGGUAGAUUAAGUCGGUACACCUAAAGUCCUAAUCAGGACCAUUGGACCAUUGUUCGUAGAGUCCUUAAGUAUUUGAGAGGCACCAUUAACUAUGGUUUGUGCUAUAGUGGAUAUCCAAGUGUCCUUGAAGGAUUUAGUGAUGUAAAUUGGAUCUUAGAGUCAGAUGAGAUGAAAUCCACUAGUGGAUAUGUUUUCAUCCUUGGUAGAAGUGUAGUUUCUUGAAAGUUUGCCAAGCAAACUUGCAUUACUCAGUCUACUAUGGAAGCUAAGUUUAUUACCUUAGAAAAGACAAGUUCUGAGGUUGAGUGGCUUAGAAACCUCUUAGUAGAUCCCGUCUGUGUCUAUGCGUUGUGAUAGCCAAGUUGUAAUUGCUAAGGCUAAGAGUAAAAUAUUUAAUGGAAAGAACAAACAUAUAUGCCUAAGGCACAAUAUUGUGCGACUGCUGCUUGAAAUAGGGGUUAUAUCUCUAGAAUUUGUGAGGUCAAAGUUGAAUUUGCUCGAUCCUUUGACCAAACCACUAAAUAAGAAACUAAUGGAAGAAACAUCGAGGGGGAUGGGGCUUAUGCCUAUUACAAAAGUCAACAGUGGUGGUAACCUAACCUAUUAGAAUGGAAAAUUCUAUGAAGUUGGUUCAUAUGGGUAAUAACAAAUCGCUUGUCAACUUGAGGUGCUCUAUCAACUUUAAUUGUAUGAGAGUCUAUCCCUAUGGUGUGGAUAGAGCAUAUUCUGCAUUGACUAAGGUUGAGUGUUUACUCUUAAUGAAUGCCACAUUCCUUAUGAAUGGUAUGUUUAAAUGCAUAAUAUACUUGAUGGAUUCAACUAUAUGAGAGUAGAGAUGAGACCACUUCCUAUAAAAACUUAAGCAGGUUCUCUAGAGCUCUCAUAAAUAUCCAGGCAGAGUACAUGGCCUAUUUGUGUCAACCCGUUAUGUACAACUCAUAAUGUAAUUAAGAAAACCAAUGUGGAUAAAGGUCUCUUAAGUUACAUCAAGAAACACUGGUUCAUAGAAAUUCAUUUUUCACCGUAUUUUGUGAUUCAAUACUUAUUUGUCCUAAGAUUGGUUCAUAGCCUUUGGGUACCAAUACUGAUGCAUUUGAUUUUUUUUUCUCCAUUUUUUCCUUCCUUCACAUCUACUCUCUAUGAGGGAUUGCAGAAAGAGUGUAAAUGUGAAGUUGUGUUUGACUUAGUCUUUUAUUUUUUAAUGACUCUUUGGGAAGAUUCCCAUUAGGAGUGUGCUAGUAGAGUCUCGUUCCGCUUACAUGUAGAGUCUUGUUCUGUUUAAACUAGAGUCAUGUUCUAAUUACAAGUAGAGUCAUAUUUUUAUUACAAGUAGAGUCCUGUUGGGACUGUGUUAGUGGCCUAUAAAAGCAGGUCACUCCUCACUCUCAAAUAUAUUUUUUUUUUCAGAGAGUUCUUCUAAAUCUUCCAACAUUUGGCUUUCCUCUCCACUCUUUCAUACAUCUAUCUGGAGGAAUUUUUUAGAACACGAAUUGUACACAUCUCGCCUGUAGAGUGCACCCAAGGUGAGAUUCACUGGUUGAUGAAUCCUAGAGGUAGAUCACUGGUACCCUAGUGCACCAAGUUUAUCUUCAAGGAAGGUGAAUCGAUUUCAAGAACACUGUUUGUCACACCUCAACCGAUCAUCGAUAAGUUUCGUGUUAUUCAUUCUAUUCUUUGUUUGUGUGUUUUGGGCUAUUCAUUUGUUUUCAUACCCUUAAAACAAUAGUUACUUCAUGGGAAAGAGAACAUUGGAAGAUAAGAAGAUUUUUGGAGGAAUAUGACAAUUGUAUUCUCUAGGGAGCCACAACAUCAAUAUGAGAAGAGUAAGUCUUCAUUGAAAAAAAAAAAAAGACAAAUUUAAGGAAAAUGAUCAACAGGGACUGCAAAUUUGAUUUUGAGGGUCUCCUUACAAUAGACCGAACCAUCUAACAACCCUUUUCUUCAUAAGAGGACAUCACUUUAUGACCAUACUAAAUCCAACAUUGCCAUUUGGACCGUAAGGAUGCUUGCUUGCUAUUUGCACCAGAGAAGGAUGAAUGAAGUUGUAUCGUGCACCAUUUUGUGAGUUGCAAACCACAUUCUGGUAAGUUAAGAGGAAAUAAUCCACAUCAAAUUUUGGAAGCCAUGACAUCUGGGAGGUUAUUGAUACUUGAGAGGAAAAUUUUCAACUUUUUGACUUCUUUGAUCAUUUAAUCCAACUGAAAGUAAAAAAAAUCAAGGAUCAUUGACGAAUGAGGUUGUGAUAUGGUGCCUAAUUUCUAGUACAAUAGCCUUAAUUUUGAGUUAUAUAUCAUAUUCGAUCAUCAAAGGCAGGAGUAAUAGAUGACGGGGGUUCAGAUUCUUCCAUCCAUAUACCAAUGAUGGCGUUGAUGGUGAGAGGGUCUUGUGGCACACCGUCAAAGCCAUCCAAAAAGAUUGCCUCAUCUACACCGAUGACCAUGAUGCUUCUUCUAAUAGCUUGAUGGCUCGUGUCGUUCGACAUUUUGGUGGAGUUUUCAAGGUGAGGGUUGAGAAGCAGGUUUGAGCGUGUUGAGAAAGAGAUUCAAAGCCUUGGGAGGAUUUUUUAGAAAAGAGAUCGCACACAAAGGGUUGUCCACUUUCCAUUUGAGAGAACGAUAAUCAGAAUUUUUAAGGAACAACAAUCAGAAUUUCUAGAGUGGUGGAUGUUAAGAAUUUUUUUUUUUUUUUUUUAUGGGAUAACGAUCAGAAUUUUUCCGAGAACAACAAUCAGAAUUUUUGGAGAGGAAGAUGCAACAAAGAAACCAUCAUCUUAAUGCGCACCACCAGAAUUGUAGAACCAACUCACCAUCGAUAACUGUUCUCCAUCUUCAUGCACAGGUUGAUCAUUCGACCAAUGGGACGCACUCUCUACGGGGAAAACCAAUAGAACCAGACAUCAUCUUCACAUGAAAGAAGGUUUCCACAUUGAGGGGCUGCCACUUUGAAACCAUUGUCGGCAUCUCUCCAUCACAAAGGAGCUUCGGCAUGCAUCGCUUCACAGGAACACCCAUAGGUGAGUUUUUUUUAUUUUUUUUGGGAAACUUUGGUAUUUGAAUCCAUGAGUGCUAUACAUGUAGUGGAAGAUUGAGGAUUUUUUUUUUUUUUUAAAUAUAAUAUAGAGUCAUGAGUGUUUGAACGCUAGUGGCUUGGCUUUUUUUAGGGAAAAAAAAUUGAUGUAUAUACACGUGGUCCGCCAUGUGAUGUUUCAAGUAUGUUAAUAGUUUGUUUCAUUGAAUUAAAAAUUAAAGUGAAUGUGGUGGGUCAUGUUGUUAUUGGUUUACAUUGUUAUAAAUUUACAAUGAAACAAAUGAAAACUAAUAUCCAUAAAAAUUCAUUCAUUUAUUUAUUUAUUUAUUCAUUUUCAUAAAGUUAUUUGUUGCAAAUUUUGAAUAUCCAUGUUAGUUUAUACUUUUCAUAAAACCAUUUGUUGUUAAUUUUAAAUAUAUAUAUUAAUUUAUAUUGCUCCUUGAACUUUUAGUUUGUAGUUUUGGUUGAUCCAUGUUAAUUUUUGUUAUCCUUAAAAUUAUCAAUUGUUAUUUUGGUUGAUCCAUGUUAAUUUUUUGUGGUCCUUUGAAUUUUUAGUUUUUAAUUUGAUGGUCUGUGUUAAUUUUUAUAUACCUUUGAGCUUUUAAUUGUUGAUUUUAAUAAACUAUGUUAGUAUAUAUUCCUUCUUGAAUUUUUAGUUUUUGGUUUUGGUUGAUCCAUGUUGAUUUAUAUUGCUCUUUGAAUUAUUAAUUAAUAUUUUGGUUGAUCCAUGUUGUUUAAUAGUUUUCUUUAAAUAUGAGGGUUUUAGUUUUUAUUUACCUCUUAUUAGUUUGUGAUUUAAAUAUCCUUAGAUGUUAGUUUUUAUUAUUUUCCAAUUAUUCAUUCUUAUUGAACCUAAAUUAGUUCAUGUUUUUAUUAUCUCUAGCAUUAGUUUGGUUGUUCCUCAUUAAUUUAGGUUUUUAAUAUCCCUAGUUGUUGACUUUUGUUAAUAUUUCAUGUUAGUAUAUGUUCUUAAUAAUUUUAGGCUUAGUUUCCUUGACCCUUGAUGAUAUUAAUUCAUGCUAGUUUAAAAUUGUUAUUAUCAUUGUUAUUAUUAUUAUUAUUUGUUAACCCAUAUAGAUUUUUUUGUUGUCCUUUGACCUUUUAAUCUUAGGUAUUGAUUAUCCAUGUCAUUUGAGUAUUAUUAGAUCAUUUUCAUGCUAUGAGAGUUCUCAUCUUUAAAAUUUUGGUAAUUCUAAGGUGUUAAAUCUUCUUAGUAUUAUUCAUGAUAAUUUUAUGUUAAAUAAUUUUUCUUGAAUGACAGUAAAUUAGUUUCAGAUUUUUCAUUAUUUGUUUAAUAUUAGUUAGUUUCAUGUUAUUUAGAUUAUUUUCAUGCCAUUAAAAGUAUUAUCCCUUAUAGUUUAUUAAUUCUUAGGUUUUAAUCUUCUUGUUUUAGCUUCAUAUCAUUAUAUUAUUUCCCAUGCUAUUAAAAGUUUUGUAAUGCAAGUUCGAUAAUUUUAAUAUUUGAUCUUCAUGUUUUUAGUUUCAUGUCAUUCAAUAAUUUUUCAUGAUAUUGAAAGUUCUUCUUUGGAAAUUUAGUAGUUCUUAAGUUUUAGAUCUUCUUGUUAUUAUUCAUGUAUUUUGAUCCUGUUAUCAUAUUAAAAGUUGUCUUUUUUGGAAACUCGGUAGUCUUAGGAUUUAGAUCCUAAAUCCUCCAAUUAUUAUUCAUGCAAUUUGUUUGUGUUAUGAACUAAAAAAUUUAUCUUGAAAGGUUUAGAAGUUCUUAGGACUUAGCCUCAUUCUUAUUUUAGAUUCAUGUUAUUUUUUUAUAUUCAUGCUAUUUAGAAAUAUGGUUGCUCAUCUUUUAAAGCUCGUUUUUCUUCUAAGACGUAGUUUCUUGUUACCACUCAUGGGGUUUAAUUAUUUAUUUAUUUUGAAAGCAUAUUGGCUAGUUUGGGAUUCAGAUCUCCUUAUUAAAAUUCAUGUUUGAUCUUUUAUAUUUGAAAGCAUGUUAUUUGUUUGCAAUUCAGCUAAAAUUCAUGAUAUUAGUUGUUUAUUUUUCAAAGAUUGAUUUUUAGAAAGAGAUUUUUAGAAAUUGACAUUUUGAAUUAAGUCAAAAUCUCUUCUUUUCUUUCAAAAAAUGAAUUUUUCUCCAUAAAUGAUGUGGCUCCUUGAUCCCAAAUGAAAGGUAGCCAAUAAGGCGAUCCAUGUUGAUAAUUCUUUUGUUUUCAAAUCCCUUUUAAAUUAGAAAUAAAAUAAAAUAAAAUAAAAUAAAAUAACUCCAUUUUGUGUCCAAUGUUUUGGAUUUAUCAAAUCACAUGGUUUGAUCUUUUGCUUUCCUAAAAUCAUUCUCAAAGGAAUUUAAAUAUUAAAAAAAAAAAUCCAUUCCCGGUUUUUAAGGCCAAUAUCUCACUUUGUUUUAAAGAAAAAAAAAUAUAUAUGUAACUUAGUUUUAUCCAAAUUGCAUUCCUUUUUCUUAGUUUUCUAAAACUUUAUUUUCUUAACAUAGAUUUGAACUUGUGUUCCCAAGCUAAUAGGAAUACACAGGUGAAUCUUAUGAAUAUUAAUUGGGGAUUUGAUGGGACCCCAACAUAAAAGAAUCUUUUCAAAACUUAUUUUUGUUGCCACUUUUGCUACUUGUUAUAAUCAUAACCAUCAAUUUUUUAGGAAAAUUAUGCAAGAUGUAUGUGAUAAUUGAUGACUUUGAAUACUCUGAUAAUUUUUGCUACGCUAUUUAGAUACCAAGCAUGCUAGGAUUUCUUUUUUUUAUUAUUUAUUACUAUAAUUUUGAUCUAACCUUCCAUGUCUUGUGAAAACACACUAUAAGUUAUCUAUGUUAUUUAGGUACUCAUCUUACCUUCACAUUUUAAUUUCAUAAAUUGUGUAUUACUUUAUAUAUGAUCAUUACCUAUUGCUUCGUAUGUGAUUGUCAUGUUUAGCAUAUCUUUUUUUAUUGUUUGUUUGACUUGUCAUGUUUGAUUAAGAGACUAAGGUAAAACGCAUGAUAUGUGUUUUAUUUUCUAAACCGACCAUUGAUGUCAUGUGAUAGUGCUUAAGUUGCAGUUCAGGUAUGCAAUACAAUCAUUUCUUUAUGAUUGUGUUUUGAAUUCUUGUUUGGCUUGCUAGUGUUGAAAGAUUUUAAAAAUCACCUUAGUCCGUCUAAGUAUCCAUAAUCAACUAACUAAUUGUCAUAUUUCCAUCAACUUAGCUAGUAGAGAGACCUCUCUAUGGAUUAGAAGGGUGCUACCUCUUUGGAGGUAUUUUCUUGAUAGGUAACUUGAUCCCCGGAUCCAAACUCGAGUUUUUCGUAGACAGCUUUUCCAAAAGCUAGGAAUCAUUUUUAAGGGUUUUGUUCUUACUUGAUUUCCCCUUUUUAAAAUAAAUAAAUAAAAGUAAGUGGUAACUCCAGUUUUUUUUUUCUCUCGUAAAAUACAAUUUUUCCUUAAACAAAAGUGAGUCUUAUCAAUUGAGUGGGGAUGUAUUGUGAAAAAUGUGGGUCCACAACAACCCUUCAAAUGAUGUGUCUAGUAUUUUAAAGACAUCUCUUCUAAAGGUCACCUUCAAAUCUAUAAACAAACAUCUCUUCUGAAUUAAUAUUCAUCCAUUCUCUCCAUUCUUUCUCCUUUAUUGUCAUUCAAGUCUCCUUAGCUUCAAGUCUAGUCAUUUCUCUUCUUUUUUUUACCAAAUAUUUGGUGUACAAGUGAGUACAAAUCACCAAGUGAUUCACCAUUUUUUUUAGUGAUUUGAAGUGUUACUAUCACAAAAAAGUGAUCAUUGUAACCUAGGAGACAAUUGUCAAUAAACCAUAAGCACCUGAAUGGGGCAAAUUCAUCUUAAGGACAUAAAGUCAACUUUAGCCUUGAUCAACCUUAUUUGUGACUUUCAGUUUUCUACAUAUUUUAUUUUAUUUGUAUAUUUACUAUACACACUUAUUAUCCCUAUAUUUUCAGUGAUCUGGACUACAACUUUUAGUAGUAAAUCGAGAUUUCUUCUCCAAACAGGAUUUUAGGAGAAGAAAUUAUGUUUAUGGAAAAGUUUUUACUAUAGAAAAUUAAAUUUAAUGUAGUAGAUCUUGACUUAUCGUGUUUGAAAGCUAUGAUUAUUGAUUAAAAAAAAUUAAUGUUAUUUUUCUUUUAAUUACAAGUAUUUUUUAUAUAUAAAGUUAAUAUUUAAGUAUAAAACCUUUUAGAAAUGUCAACUCAACUCUAUUUAUGGAAUAAUUUUAAAUUUUCCUUUUAGCAAAAGUUGAAAUAAACGUAAAAUAACUACUUUUAUUAUAAGUUGAUUUUAUGUUUGGAAUAGAAUGCUUUUAUUCAAAAUAAAGAAUAAUUAAGAUAUUUUUAAAUUUUAGUUAAAUAAAACUUGUUGAAUACACCAAUAUUUUCUCUCGUUACACCCAUCUUAUUUUUAAUUUUUUUUUUAGUAAAAAUGUGAAUGUCUUUUUCUUCAUCAUCCUUUUGACACUCAUGUCUCAAAUCUUAAUUAGCUUUCUUAUUCACUUUUCUUCCCCUUUCCUUUAUUUUAUUUCAAUUUUCCUUUAACUAAAAUAGAAAAACAACUAGAAAAAUAAUAGUUGGUGUGCAACCAUGACUAUUGUCGGUAUAGAUAGAAAAGAAUUGGUGGAUUAAAUAACCACUAAAUUAAUCAUCAAAACUUUAACUUUAACUUUUUAACUCAAUAAAAUUUAGACUUGACAAACAAUGAGUCAUACACAUUGAACGAAUGUUAUGCAAUUCACAAAGCGAUAUAUGACCAAAUUUGAAAGGCUACAAAAUCAAAUCUUGUAAAAUAAAAAUAAAAUAAAAUUUUUAAAGUAAAAAAGAGAAUUAGAAAAAUAUAUUCUCUUGCUAGUAAAUUUCUGAAAUGAAAGAAACAAAUUGCUUAAUUAAAUCAAAAGCGAAUUGUAAAGAAAUAUUCUCUUGUUGAUAAAUUUUUUAAAUGAGGGUACACAAAUUGCUAAAUCAAUCAAUCAAUCAAUCAAAUUCCUUAAAUUGAGUAACCAACUACUGGGGAUUCCAAAUUUAAUUUCUUAACUUCACCUAUAAAUAAAAAUCACCUUCUUCAAUAUAGGAGAUUAAAAAAAUAAAUAAAUAAAUAAAUUUCAGAAGAAGCCAGAGAAAAAAGGAUUCUCAAGGAGAAAAAUGUUUCACAAUAUACCCCCUACAAGUCCAAGAAAAGCACAUGAAAAACUAUGUACAUACUUUUCACCAUUCUCAAAGUUCAAUAGUCAUUUAGAAAACAAGAUAUGCAAGACUCUCAAUUGAACUUUAAUUUCAAAGAAAUACUUACAUCGUCAUUCAUUAGAUUGUGAUUAAAACAAUCAAAUCAGAGGAAAAUUUUCUUUACAAAGAAUAUUAUAAUAGAAAAUUGUACCUCAUAAAUUUUUCUAAUUAGGAAAAUUUAGGUAGGUGUAUUUAACAACUCUUUAAAAAAAUAAAUUUUAUCCCUAAAAAAUUAAUAUACAUUUAUAGGAGCACUAAGUGACAAAAUUCGAAACUAAUGGAGAUUUAAUGCAAUGUUAUGAAGAUUAGACCGAACGAGGACCGGAUUGGUCUGGUUCACCACAUCAAGCCACAAAUGAGUUGAAUCGGCAUUAAAUCGGUCCAACCACUAGGUGAGUUAGCUCAACCAAUUCAAGAGCUACACUUUAUUCCCUUUUUUUCUUUUCCAAAACUCACCUAACCGUCCAACACAUAUAAGUCCAUAGUCAAUUUGCAUGAAUGACAAGUUUAUAUAGCCUACUUUUGCUUCAUGCUUUUUCGAUGUAGAAUCAAGUGAAUUUUUGUUUUUGGAGACUAAAUGUCAUGACCAUGGGAUUUGAACAAAACAUGGAACACCCAAGUUAUCCUUACAUGUUUGCAAAGAAAAACAUUCGAAAGCUAUAUAUACAUUAUUGAAAAUUUUAAAAUGAAUAUAAAUAUUUAUGAUUUAUCUAUAAUAAAUAUGGGAAUAAUAUAAAUAAAAAACUAAUAAUUUGAAGAUAAUAAAAUGUAUAGCUAUUGAAAUCCAAACAAAUUAAAAUAAUAAAAUCCUUUUAUCUUAAUAAAUUAAAGUUACUUAUUUAAUAAAAAAAAAACUAAUAAUUUAAUAAAUCAUUAAGUUAUCGUUAUCAUAUUUUGAGCUAUCAAUAUUAUCAAUAAUAAAAUGAUGAAAUGUGUUUAAAAUUUAAUUACUUAUACAUUUUCUUAUUUCAUAUAAUUGUUUUUAAUUUUAUUAAUAAUGCAAUUUAUAUAUUUAUGACAUCAUUGGUUUAAUAAUUUCAACCAUCGAUCUAAUCGAUGAAUUAUGAAUUCGAUAACUUUUAUAAUUUAAUGAUCAAUCCAAUUUUGAAAACAUUAUUUUAAUGUAUGUACACUAAACCUUAGGGAAUUUGAUUGAAAUUAACUCAUACAAACAAUUUUGUUUGUAUAUAUUUCUAGUUCUUUUACUUAUUUUUAUGGGAGAAUUAUCUUUUGGGGGUAGAUGGGCCCCCAAAUUAACAAAAGGUCCAUGUAACUCUUCAAAUUGAGUUGAAGGAUAUGAAAUAGUAACGGACAAAUAUACCCUUUAAGAACACAUAUAAAAUAUUUUAUAAAAUUAAGUUAAAUAAUUCUUUUUCAAUAAUUUUUUUUUUCAAAAAUACUAAAUUAAAUAAAAGUAGUUUUCAAAAAUAUUAAAUUAAUUUUUUUUUUCAAAAAUAUUAAAUAAAAUAAAUUUAUUUUUAAAAAAUAUUAAAUAAAAUAAAUUUAUUUUUAAAAAAUAUUAAAUUAAAUAAAAGUAUUUUAAAAAAUAUUAAAUUAAAUAAAAGUAUUUUAAAAAAUAUUAAAUUACAUAAAAGUAUUUUUUAAAAAUAUUAAAUUAAAUAAAAAAUAUUAAAUUAAAUAAAAGUAUUUUUCAAAAAUAUUAAUUUUUUUUCUCAAAAUCAACAAAUGAUAUUUUUUGAAAUACUGAAGGAUGAUAUCCUUCAACUCAAUUUCCAUACUUUCAUUGGGUCUUGGGCUCAAUUUAAAGAGUUAUAUGGACCUUUUGUUAAUUUAGGGGCCCAUCUACCCCCAAAACAUAAUUCUCCCAAUUUUUAUAGGACUUUCGAAAUUUGCACAUGUAAUUGCCAUUGAUAGCAUUUGGAUAUGCAUUCUAAUCUAUUGUUCAUGCAUGACUAAGCAAAUAACCUUCGCCACUGUAAACAACCAUGAUGUGAGUACCAACAAAGCCAAGUCACUCACCCUCUUCAUAUGGUUUUUAUUUUUUAUUUUAUUUUUUGUUAAUGUUUGGAUAUGGGAAUAAAGAAAAAAAGACAAGGCAUGCAAGCAAGGGAAAGGAAAAGUAAUGGGAGGGAUAUAAGAUUCAUAAUAAUGAUAAGGGCUUAGGUAUGGUACAAAUAACACCUUUUUAGUACCAAUUAGUGGGUGUCACAUGUGCACUGGUUCAUUGCUUUGUUCUUAGCAUCUCAUUAUUUUGUUUUGUAUCCUCCCAAGUUGGAUCAAACUAUGCAUCACUUUCCUCCUCAAGAUAAAAAAACCAAAAGAUAAAAAAGAAUAGGCCGGUUAGGUAAACCUUUCUUCAACAAUCAAGUUAUCCAUGAGGUUAAGUGAAAAAGACAUAAAAGAUGAAAUUGUUUUUGUUCCUUAUUUUGGAAGUGAGAAUUCCUUUUAUAGAUUUAUUUUGGUGUAUUAAUCAUGAAAAGUUAAUAAAUGGAAACAUCAAUUCUAUAUUGUUCCUUAAAUGAUUUCCAUUACGAGUAUCAUAAAGGCUCUAAUCAUUAUGCAAUAAUUAUGGAAUGACAUUUAAGGUUUUGGCCAUUAUGUGAUUAAUCUGUGAAUUGUUGUCAUUACAUAAUUAAUGUAUAGGUUAUCCUUUACACAAGGUCAUAAUUUGCAAUAGUGAUCAUAUUUUAUGAGUGGUAGUCAUUCCUGAAUGUGAUCAAUGCUUUUUGUGACGUGAUGAUGAUAAUGAUCUAUUUUUACGGUGAGGUGGGUCUCAUGGGGACUCUUGACAAGCAUUAUAUGGAGGUAGCACAUUGCUUUUUUGACUUUGCUACAUGACGAAGGAUUUUCAUAUCCCUACACUUCCUAUUUUACAUGUGAACUAAUUAUUUUAUAUUUUAGUUCCAUUAUUUUGUAGUUUAGUCUUAUUACAGGCAUUACAUUUUAAUCUCAUUGAUCUAUAUAAUGGUUCCAUGUGUUUAUAACAUGGGUCUUUAUACUUUCAUUUAGUGACUCAGAUUUUAUUAUAUACUUAAAUGAUUAGGAUUAAAAUUUCAAUAUCAUAUCAAAUAUAAACCCAAUAUAUUUCUUUUUUUAUAAUAAUAAAUUUAUUGAAGAAAGGUAUGAUUGAAUAUUAGAGAUUGUGGCUUUCAAGUUAACACUAAAAAAACUACGCACAUAGAUGAUUUUAGUGUUAAAAAACUUGAGGAGAAUUAUUUCCAAUUGGUGACAUGUGUUAGGUAUAAAGUUGCCUUUAAUAAGAUUGAUAACUACAUUACUAAAAUAUAAAACCUUAUUGGUAAUAAUAGUAAAGGAUUGAUUAUGACACUAACUACUACUUUUUUGGUAUCAUAUCAAAAAGUUAUCAUCAACUAAGGGUAUCAAAUGUAUGCAUGUUGAUCCUAUUACUUUGUACUUGAUAUCUAAUUAGUUAUACUUUAUAUACAUAAUGAUCGUAUUGGUUUGUAUCUUGGUUCAUUACUUUUCAACAUAUGAUACCUAGAUUUCAUUAUUUUAUACUAAACAUUUCAUUGUAUUAUACCAUAUAUGUGAUCUCAUUGAUCCAUACCUUUAUUCCAUUAUUUUGUACCAUGUGAUAGCUCGGAUCCUUGCUUUUGCUAUAUAUUACAUGUGACUUUGGUUCCAUUAUUUUGUAUUCGAGUGUUUUAUUAUUUUAUAAUUUAUAUAUAAUUUUAUUGUUUUCUACCUUAAUUUCACUAUUAUUAACCAUAAAUAACAAUUUCAAUAAAAAAAAGUUUUCUAUGAUAUGGGAUGUAUAUUAUAUAUUAAAUUUAUCAUUUAUGGGAGAUAAUUGCCCCCCAUCUAACGCUCAAAAAAUUAUGCAUAUGAAAGAUUUUAGUGUCGGAAAAGUAGAGAUUUUUUUCUAGAAUUGGGUCAAAAAGGUAUAUGUGUGACAUUUAAAUUUGUCUGCUUAUAUGAUUGAGAUAAGAACAUUUGGAAUUAGAGAAUUAGUCGAUGUUCAAUUAAUAAUGCAGCAGUGAUGAAAUUCAGUGGAAUUAAUUUAGAUACUAUUGAAUGGACGUCUCACAAAGUGGACUAAAUUUUAUCAAUUUGAUUGAUUUGAAAAAUUCAUAUGUUUAAAAUCAUUCAACAUUCUGAGAAUAAUUCCUUUUUCAAUUAAAAAUUGUCUGCUCCACACGAAAAGACAAACUUGGUUUUGGUCUCUUUCCAAAGUAGAAAUAAUUCCAUAAAUAUUGAAUUAUAUUGUUUACUAAAGAGAAUUGAAGAGAUCAAAGAAUGCCAACCAAAAACAAAAAAACAAAAAAAGACAAAUAUUUGCACGGAAAAGUCCAUGCAAUAGUACUCACGCCCACAGCCUAAGACUUCAACAUCAGAGAUAUGAAUAUUCUAUAUUCUAUGUCGGCCAUGACAUCACCUCCAUUCUUCUUCUCCAAGCUAAAACCACAUAGUGAAGAUCUAUAUAUAUAUCUGAAUCAUCCGGUGUUUAAUUCCACUGAAAAUAAGAAAAUUUCUUAGAAUUUUCUCUGUGAGCCGUAGUAUUAGCUAGUGAUGGUGAAGAAAAUAGAGCUUAUUUUUGUCUCUGUCUCAGCUAUAGGACAUCUUGUAUCAGCUGUGGAGUUUGCUAAGCUUCUUGUUGGUAGAGAUGACCGCUUCUCAGUCACUCUACUCAUCAUGAAGCUACCUCUUGAGGACUCUGCGGUAACCAACUAUAUCCAUUCAGUUUCUGCUUCCGUUUCCGGGUCCAUUCGAUUUGUCCACCUUCCUGAACUCGACUCAGAUUCAUCCAAUUCCCACCCAUCAUCGUCAUCCCCUAAUAUCUUCUAUAAUAUCAUUGCAAGGCAGAAGCCUCUAGUGAGGGAUGCAGUCCACCAGCUCACUCGGUUUGAGUCGGGUCGACUCGUUGGGAUUGUGGUCGAUAUGCUUUGUACUGUUAGAUUAAUUUUUGUAAUUAAUCUAUAAUUUGGGCCACACAUGUAAAUAAUUAAAAUGUGUGUGCUAUCAUUUAAUUAAUUAAGCCUAAAUAUAGUGAUCUAAUUAAUAAUUGAUUAAUUGGCUUAAGGGUAUAAUUGUCAUGAGAUUAUUGUGUAGAUACCAUUAGAUAAUUAUUAUUUCUAUGAGGGGCAGAAAUAUAAUUGUGAUAAAAUUAAAACUGCCCUAGCGGUUUAUAAAUAGGGUUAUGGUCCCCAUUCUACGACUACGCAUUCCAAUUUCUGAAAAUCCUCUCAGUGAGAAAUUGACACAAAAUCUAGUGGCUAGAAUUGGAAGACCAUCUCAAAGGGUUUUCUUCCUAUAAGGUUUCUCCUUCAAUGGAUUCAGGUAUGCUUCCGCUAUUAUUUUUUCUACUCAUUGUUUUUAAUCAGGAGAUUCCAGUAUAUAUGAAAUUAGGGUAUUCACCUUGUUAAAUAUUCCAGUAUAUAUGAAAUUAGGGUAUUCAUCUUGAUUCAUUUUAACAUGUACUUCCAUGAUAGAUGUAGCUAAUAAAUUGGGUGUUCCUUCCUAUGUGUACUUCGCCUCCAGUGCGGCCUGCCUUGCUCUCAUGUUUCAUCUUCAAACCCUCAAGGACCGCCAGGGCGUGGAUGUUACUGAGUUUGCUAACUCGGAUGCUAAGUUGGUGGUCCCGGGUUUUGUCAACUCGGUUCCUGCUCGAGUCUUGCCUGCUACGGCGGUGGACAAGGAGGGUGGCGGAUCCAUGGAUUUCCUCGAUCGGGUAAGGAGCUUUAGAGAUGCCAAGGGUAUUUUGGUAAAUACAUUUAUGGAGCUAGAAUCUCAUGUGAUUAACUCCUUUGUCGAUGGUACAACUCCUCCCAUUUACACAGUAGGGCCAUUAUUGAACUUACAACAUGCCAACAAACAAAAACAAGAUAGUGACUUGGAUGUCAUCCAAUGGCUUGAUGAUCAACCCACAUCAUCUGUGGUGUUUUUAUGUUUUGGCAGCGCUGGAGCAUUCCACAUGGAUCAAAUCAAGGAGAUUGCAAUUGGGCUUCAGAAUAG